UGCAGUCGAACGGUAACAGGGAGCUUGCUCCGCUGACGAGUGGCGAACGGGUGAGUAAUGCGUCGGAACGUGCCGAGUAGUGGGGGAUAACGCAUCGAAAGGUGUGCUAAUACCGCAUACGAACUGAGGUUGAAAGUGGGGGACCUUCGGGCCUCACGCUAUUCGAGCGGCCGACGUCUGAUUAGCUAGUUGGUGAGGUAAAGGCUCACCAAGGCGACGAUCAGUAGCGGGUCUGAGAGGAUGAUCCGCCACACUGGGACUGAGACACGGCCCAGACUCCUACGGGAGGCAGCAGUGGGGAAUUUUGGACAAUGGGCGCAAGCCUGAUCCAGCCAUGCCGCGUGUCUGAAGAAGGCCUUCGGGUUGUAAAGGACUUUUGUCCGGGAGCAAAUGCCUGGUGUUAAUAGCAUCGGGAGCUGAGAGUACCGGAAGAAUAAGCACCGGCUAACUACGUGCCAGCAGCCGCGGUAAUACGUAGGGUGCAAGCGUUAAUCGGAAUUACUGGGCGUAAAGCGUGCGCAGGCGGUUUUGUAAGCCAGAUGUGAAAGCCCCGGGCUCAACCUGGGAACUGCGUUUGGAACUACAAGACUAGAGUGUGUCAGAGGGGGGUGGAAUUCCGCGUGUAGCAGUGAAAUGCGUAGAGAUGCGGAGGAACACCGAUGGCGAAGGCAGCCCCCUGGGAUAACACUGACGCUCAUGCACGAAAGCGUGU
rnacentral:rRNA from 1 species